GACGUAGGGCGCGAGCGUUGUCCGGAUUUAUUGGGCGUAAAGAGCUCGUAGGCGGCUUGUCGCGUCGACCGUGAAAACUCGCAGCUCAACUGCGAGCCUGCGGUCGAUACGGGCAGGCUAGAGUUCGGUAGGGGAGACUGGAAUUCCUAGUGUAGCGGUGAAAUGCGCAGAUAUCAGGAGGAACACCGGUGGCGAAGGCGGGUCUCUGGGCCGUAACUGACGCUGAGGAGCGAAAGCAUGGGGAGCGAACAGG
rnacentral:rRNA from 1 species